rnacentral:lncRNA from 1 species
UUGAAUUGCAGGUUUUUGUUUUUCCAAAUAAAUUGAAACUCUCACAGUGAGAUUCAUAUUCAUGUUACUGAUUAGGAAAUGGAGUUCAUUUUUUCAUUCAUUUCUUAUUACUAACAUUUUCUUUUUUCUUCAAAAACAGGUGGAGUUGGCAUAGCAAAUAUGGUAGAGAAGAUUGAGAAUCAUCAGUACAUGGGAUUUGAGAACCUCUGUACCUAUGAAUCCUAGGCUUGCUUUUAUUUAACCAUUAUUUUUCUUUACAUUCAAAUUUCUCAUAUGUCAAUUUGUGAAUCCCAGGAUGUUGGCCAAUCAAUGCAAACUAUCCUGGUGUGAAUAAUGGUUAGCUUGUGCCAAAUUUUUAUGUUUCACAUGUACACCACUCAUGGCCUGAGCUUUGGAUAUUUUAUCACUAGAAAUUUAAUCUGUUGUAGUUCGCAAAUGCAUAAAUUCAUUAUUGUAUUUGGCAAAAUAAAAUCUUAUCACCUCUACAAUUUUUAUAUUGACCUAUUAAAUACUCCAAUCUAUAAAAUUGCAUUUAUUCAACGUUUUAAUUCGUAAAUUUUUUUUAUUAAACACUUUAAUUUUUAAAUUUAAAUUAAUUAAGUAUUUAUUAAAUAGUUAAAAAAAAUAAAAAUUAUUAUUUUAAAAAUUAUGCUAAUUACAUAUUAAAUUAAUAUUUCACUUAUAAAAACCAAAAAUAUCAAAAAAUUAUUGUUGUUAAUAUAAAAAAGUGUAUAAUGUUAUCAAAAUUCUGGUUCUAUGAUUUAAAUGUGGUGACACAAAAUUUUGUUGUGUAAAGUACAAAAGUGAAUUUUGCAUUUGGCUACAUAAACAAGAUAAAAGAAAAUCACCAGCAAUUGAGAGUUUGGGACAAGACACUGUCAUGGGGAGCUAUGAGCUUGAUGAAAUUUUGGCGCUUCAAACUUAUUCUUUGUUUUCUUGAUUUUCAGUUUCCAGUUGCUCUUGGAGUUAGUGUCUAUCAGGCAGUUAACUUGUACAAAGGACGGAGGAAGAUUAAAUCCAAGGGAGAGGCCGGCACAAAUUUAAAAGUACACCAGUUGGUUCUUUAUUGCUGCUGUGGAGUAUUGGCUGGUGUAGUUGGUGGGUUGCUUGGUCUUGGUGGAGGAUUCAUUUUGGGGCCACUUUUUCUGGAAUUGGGAGUCCCUGCACAGGUAAAUUUCAUGCUUGAGGGUUUUAUUCUUUCAUGACCAUUAAUUUGGUGUUAGAUGGUCAACUUUUAUGGAUCGACCUUAUGACAGUCAUUUUGGAUCAAAAGAAACAGAUUGUCUUUAUUUAAAAGAAAGAGAGCUCAUGUCAAUGUUGAAAUUGUUAUGUUAUGGACUUACAAUAUUGACAACAAUUAUCCAUCUACAUAUUAAUUCUAUAAACCUUCAAGUUCAUGACUGACCUCAUUUCAUGAGAGAUUUCAUGCAGGGUUCAAGUGCCACAGCCACAUUUGCCAUGACAUUUUCUGCUUCCAUGUCAGUCAUCGAGUACUAUCUCUUAAAACGUUUUCCCGUUCCUUAUGGUGAGGUUACCACCACAAUGUUAAAUUAUGACUUUUAUCAGCAGAGAAACAACAUUCAGAAUUCAUUUCUAUAUAUAAUUAUUAUUUUCAAAAUUUUUUAUGCAGCUUUAUACUUUGUUUCUGUGUCCACCGUCGCGGCCUUUGUAGGGCAGCACGUUGUAAGAAGGCUUAUCAGUAUAUUAGGGAGAGCAUCUAUAAUUAUCUUCAUUUUGGCAUUCACAAUAUUUGUGAGUGCAAUAUCCCUAGGUAUGUAAAAUCUUGAAUUGCAGGUUUUUGUUUUUCCAAAUAAAUUGAAACUCUCACAGUGAGAUUCAUAUUCAUGUUACUGAUUAGGAAAUGGAGUUCAUUUUUUCAUUCAUUUCUUAUUACUAACAUUUUCUUUUUUCUUCAAAAACAGGUGGAGUUGGCAUAGCAAAUAUGGUAGAGAAGAUUGAGAAUCAUCAGUACAUGGGAUUUGAGAACCUCUGUACCUAUGAAUCCUAGGCUUGCUUUUAUUUAACCAUUAUUUUUCUUUACAUUCAAAUUUCUCAUAUGUCAAUUUGUGAAUCCCAGGAUGUUGGCCAAUCAAUGCAAACUAUCCUGGUGUGAAUAAUGGUUAGCUUGUGCCAAAUUUUUAUGU